GCCGAUUAAUAUUGAAGAGUGCAUUGAAAAUGCGGAGAAGUUUGAGUCGGAUUUGGAUUGUCUUACCGAGGACAUUAUCAUUACUAAAUAGACUUCAUUUGUGGAAACUUUGAUUUUGCGCGAGUCUACCACUACUAGCACUCUCGUGGCUUAAGCUGGACAUGGACCCUAGAUCAAUUUUGAUGUAGUCCUCGAUUGUUGUUGGCCAUCCAUCCUAUCUCUCUCCAUGACAUUUUCCAUCAUCUUGGAUCAAAGAACUUUUUUAAUUUAUUUUACUUGGAGAUGGGAUAGAUAGAUAGAUAGAUGAGUUUAAUUUACUAUUAUGAAUUUUCAAUUUUACCAUGUACUUUUAGCGAUAAUGUCUUAAUUGUGAAAGUAGCUUAUCUCUAGUUGCUCAACAAUUCUGAACCCUCCUCGAGGUUCAUUCAAAGCAAAAUGUGGGAGGAUAUUUCUUUU